GGAGCGAAAGUCAAUAUUGAGCUACCAAGCUACUGGCUUAAUCAGGUUAGGGGCUGCAAUUCAGGAAGCAAUCGCUCAGACAAUCUUAUAAUGAGCAGGGUCUGGUUCCUGUUUCGGAGAAGGAACAGGGGAAAAGAAAAACACCUCUAUCUUCCCUCAUCUCUGAUCAGGCUCUUAGCAAAACUGCCAGCAGAGGCGGGAAUGGAACUAGCUAAUUAUUAGGCCAGACACAAAGCAUUGGCUGAGAUGAACAGUUUACAGUCUGGAGACUUUGGGGAGCCCAAAUCACACUGCACCUCCCCAGACACUGCAGCAGCGGGGAGGCCCAGGAAGAAUCCAGUUCCCUUUGCUGUGGGGCAAGGCCCUCGAUUUCUCCAGCAGCGGGAGAAGAGUGGGUCAGGUACCCAUGAAGGGCUAACUCGCCUGAACAAGAGCGAGGGUAUCAUCCAUUACUCUGGCAAUGCAGCUCCUCAUUCACCAGAGGAAAUAGCCCUGCAGAGCCAGGUGUCCAGAUCCAUUCCCAUGGGGGCCCCAGAGACAGCCAGACCAUCACUGCCUAACACAAAGAACUAAGGGAGCAUGGCAUGAGUGACUAGCUCCCCAUGGAGGCUCUGGUUCCACCCAGCUGGGAUCUGCUGCUGGCAGAACCGCGGUGCUGAAAGGAUCAAGCCAAAUGUGGUUUUAGACCCAGGAGGGCAGCAGCAGGAUCUGAUUAAGGCAGGCACAUAACCACACGUGAAAUCAACCACUGAGAUCCCUGCGUGGCUCGGGGGUGGGGGGCAGUGAGAAAGAGAGAGGGAGCAGCAGGAGAGCUGGGGCUGCUUUUACAGCUAAGUAAACCCAAGGUAGGGCUCCAUCCCAGCCCCUCUCCGGCCUGCAGGUUUCCCCUGGCCCCGAGCAAUGGCUUGUGCAGACUUUGGAUACCACCGCCUGGAAGAUACAACACGCCUGGGCUGCCCCAAGCUGGGAAAGGGGGCAGUGAAGGAGGAGACAGGCUGGGCUGAGCAGCGCUUGCUGGAGAGGCCUUCAUCCCAAGCAGAGAACCACGGAGAGGAAAGGAUAAGCCGCGGCAGGGCUUGACAAACCUAUUCUCCCAGCGACCUGUCCCAGAGGGCUGUCAAUCACCUUCUGGAGGAGGUCGGUUGACUUGCAUUUAACGAGUCCCAGUGCUGCAGCCCUUCAGAGCUUUCCAAGGGAAACCCCCAACCUGCCCUUGUCUGGCGACCGCCUGUUCCCAGCCCAGCUCGUGCUGCUCCACUUGGGAGAGCAGCCCAGGUAUCGCACGGCAUCUGGCAAUCCUCUCCUCCAGCACUAAGGCAGGCCGGGAGAGCGACCCAGGUUUUCCCAGGAUGCACCAGUGCGGACAUGGCUGUCCUUCGGAGGCACGGAUGAGCCGACACAGCAGCACUGGGGAAAAUCGCCGCCGUGGGGGCAGGGACCACGGCACAGGAAAACGGCUGUGAUGUGGCACAGCGGGUGGCGUGAAGGGGGCCCGGAUCUGAGGGGCACCGGGCGGGUGCGUGUUUGGGCUGCAAUCCCUCCAGCCUGGCUGGGCGUGGUAGGGGAGGCCUGGCUUUCCCCAUGAAUCCCAGGCCUCUUGAAGCGGGAGGGGAAGGGCGUUGGCUGCCGCCUGCAGAUGAGUCAGACAUGGGCCACCCCGGCAUUGCCACGCCCUCGUGCUGGAGGUGAUCUCACCCUUUAAAUCCAAAGCCCCCGCAGACUACCAAUCCAAAGCCCAAUCACAGGCUGCCAGAGAAUGCCCUGGCGUGCGACUGGCCUGUUGGAAAACCGCUGGCUGCUGGGGGCAGAGGCAGGCAGGCAAGCCUGGCUGUUAGGGACACGUGCGGCUGGCCCCACCCCAGAGCCAGCUCUGCACAGCACAGGAGCAACGGCCCAGCAGCCAGCUCCUGCCGGAGACCAGCACAGGACAGGGCUCUGGCUGGUGUCCUGUGCCCAUCUGCCUUGUGCCGCGCUAUAAUCUAUAGGCUGUUUCUGCAAUGCUCUCAAUCUCGCUCCAUUCUUCCAGCACAGAUGCAGCCCCUGCCACUUGGCUAGCACCCACUGGGCCCUGGCAUCUUCACCAUCACGCCACCCAGCCCUGCUCUGAGCCAAGCGAGGGAGGAACCAGAAGCCCCUGCCCCGUCUGGACGAGGGCACUGCCAGGAGAGUGAGAAGAGCUAGGCAACAGCAAAGCUGCCCAGGGAUGCAUGACUGCUGUGCCUCCACUGCCCAGCUUGGAGGCCGGAGCAGGCUAGUUAAUCAUAACCCAGCCCCUGCUGCACUCUGGUCUAUUGCUUUGUCACCUUUCACCUCCAUGCACCGGCCCAGCCCUCCUCGUUAAAGCAGGCACACAAUAGGUGCCUUCUUACACAAGGGCAGCGUUAGGAGCGCCAGCUGCUGUCUGAGACUGGGGAUCAGCUCUCACAGCCGGCCCGACAAGGAAGGAGACACGUGCCCAUCUCCCACCACCAGUCACGCUGGGAGAGCCCGACCCUGGCACAUGCCACUAGGGUGACCAGACAGCAAGUGUGAAAAAUCGGGACAGGGAGUGGGGUUAAUAGGACCCUAUAUAAGAAAAAGACCCAAAAAUCGGGACUGUCCCUAUAAAGUCCAGCCAUCUGGUCACCCGACGUGCCACCCCGUGCCCAGGGGUGGGUGUGAACUCGGGGCCAGAUGUUGCCGGAAGCCCAGCGAUAAGCCACACCCUCUAUGGCAGGGUGCAGGGAUUGGACCACGGAAACUGGCAACACUAGAGCGAGUGCCCCAGGCCAGUCAGGACAGGGAGACCUCACUCCCUCGGCCUUGUACACGCAGGGCUGUGGCAGGGGCUCCAGGAAGGGGGCUCGGUCUCAAAUCCAAGGAGUAGAGGGGUUCUUCUGUCACUGUAGUUCAUUCACCUUCCCGAGACGUGGUAGCUAGAAUUCUUCCCUGGACCUAGUACUGUCUACACUGGGAGUAAUGUCGGAGCAACUUUGUUGAUUGGGGGUGUGGCUUUGUCAUACCCUUUAUUGAUGUAACUGGGGCGACUUAACUUUUUAGUGUAGACCUGGUGUUACACUCUCCCUGCCUGCACCAGGUGGAUUCAGCAGAUAAGGGACUGGAAUGCCUUCAGGAGAGCGUGUGGCCUACCGGUUAGAGCAGAGGACUUUGAUCAGACUCCUGGGUCCAGUCCCCCACCUCUGGGAGGGGAGUGUGAUCUAAUGAUCCGAGCAAGGGGCUUGGGGACGAAUGGGGGAGUCAGAACUUAUGGGUCCCUUUCCAGACAGAAUCUGAGCACUUUGGCAAGUCACUGAGCCUUAUUCUACCUCAGUUUCCCCAUUGCUAAAAUGGGUUCAAUAAUGUACCUCCUACUGCACAAAGCUGUCGGGAGGCUCGGCGAACAGUUGCCAAGCCACCACCCAAGACCUUUGCGGAAAGGAGUCAGCAAGCGGCACUAAUGUAGCACUCUGCCUCUGGCCUGAGCCAACGCGGCACCUUUCUCCGGUGUUCAUUUCACCAGCACGAACUAGAGACUCCAGCCCUGGAAGGAAGCAAGAUCUGCACCUACAGCAAGGGGAGGGCAUCUCCGCUGAGCGAGUCAACAUCCCCAACACCAGAUCAUCACCACGCCUGCGUUUACUGACACAGAGCCAAGUGCUAUGAGUAGCACCACAGCUUCCCUUCUCCUGACACGCCCUGUCGGGUGGAUCCAGCCACACCAAUGGCUCGGUUGGCCUGGGGAACGAGACAUUCAAUGCAGAGCUCAUGAGUGAGAGACGCUGGCUGCUGAUACCCACCAGCCUUUAGACACUUGGUUUGCUCUCGUCAUCUCUCUCGUGCUGUAGAUGCUAUCACACCAGCCCUUCGAGUGGAACAGUGGCUGCUCGCCCCAGAUAACGCUCACGCUGGAGGUCGGGGAGCCUGGUGGGGGAAGAUACCAAGGAAACAUUUCCGCCUCGGCGCUAGAUGCAAGACUGAGUGCGCGCGUGGACUGGGCAGUGUAUUAAAGUGCUUUGAGAAUCUCGGAGGAGUCACGCUACAGAGGCACGAAACGCUGUUUCUACUGGAACGCCUCCCCAGAGCUGAGUUGUUUUGAUUCAUUUAACUUGUGCCUCACUCUGAAUAACUUCACAGACCGGAGGAAGCAAUCAGAGCAGAAUGCAAUGAACCCUGCUCAUUACAAGAGGGAAAGUCCCUAAGAAGGAUUUUUCAGAUCAGAAAACUUCUUGAAACCCAACACAACUCCUCCACACUCACCCACCCCAACAUUCACAGUCAAGCUCUUCCCAGAAGUCGUGCUCACGGUAACCGGUACAGUAACCCCAAGUAGUAAAUGAAUAAUGCAAUAUUGACAGCCGGGGAAAUAAACUCUGUUCUUCACUCUCGCUGCUGAUUCACGGGUCUCUAUUUGAGAUAUCACAACACUUUGGUCUCUCUUGGUAACGACCGUCACUGUCUGUUCUCCAAGCACAGAGCAAGGUAGGAGCGGAGCUUUCAAGAUAAAUGGCCUGAGUCACCAAUUGUCACUUUUAAUAAUUAGGCUCAGAACAGGAGUGGUCAUUUGGGAAUCCCCUUGAGGAAGGGACUUUUUUCCCCAAGGGGUCUGUUGUGUCAGAGAAAGGUAGCAGCAACAUCCAGUUUUCGAGAAUGCACAUUCCAUUCCAGUAAGCAACAGAUCGUAUAGAUUAUAUACAGGGAUCUCUGCACUGCAGCCACCUCUGGAGUGGAGUAGGGCAGCUAUAUAACAACCACACAGCAGCAGGAGUCGGCUGCAGGCUGGGCGUUAUUGUAAUGGAUGGCUUAAGAAAAAGAUAGAGGAGAUUGUUUUAAAGUUUAAGGCUGCAAAAUCUUUAGAAAACACAGCUCCUGUUGUAGUAGCAAAAUCUCUUUCUCCUCAUCCCCUCCAAAAUCCUCCCCCAUUCUGGCAUGCCCACGGCCAGGGGAGAACAGACACAGACAUUCAGCACACGGAAACCUGCAUUCAAAAUCCCUCUCCAAAUAGUAACAAGACUCUCGGAUCUAAAUGCAGAACCAGCUACAGUUCUAUGCAGAGAUGACCAUGGAGUUAUCUAGAGACAGAUCUGUGGUUGAGGAGAGACACAUGAAGCUAAAUAUAAAAUCCUGGGCAGCUUUUAAAGAUGUCUGUAAAAUGUUCCUCCUGCUUUCUACAUGAACUGAUUAUUCAUGGUGGAAUGUCCCUUUCGGGGGCCUUUUAGAAAACAAACUCCUUUAUAGCAAAGCCAGGGAGGUAAGACGCUGAGGAUCUAACGCAGGAAUGGGAGACGCGCUCUGUUUGCCACCACGCAACCUUGGGUUCAAAUACCGCUCAUGCUCCCUGGAACUGACUGUGGGUGGGAGCACGAUGGAGGCAGCAGAUUUCGCCUUAGGGAGUGUCCCUUGCUGCUCAGCAAGGAUCGAGUCUCAACAGAGACCAGAAUACGCCAGAGCUGUGGACCCUAAAGGGUCAUGUUCUGACCCGAAGUCCAUGGGAGUCCAGGACUUUUGAAGCAGGACCACUGGGUGAAGCUGCAGGGCUCUGAAGCUUUCUGGAUACAGGUGCCACUCCCACCCUCUUUUGGAUCCCUCUGACCUUCACCACUGCCUGCUGGAGACAAGUGCCUCUGCCAUGUGGGCCAAGGAGACACAGAACUGGAAACCCAAGUCCCCAGGGAACCCUUGCUGGUUGGGGGCCAAGGUCCAAAGCAUGGGAGGGAACCAGCUCGUCAGAAUGGGCAGAAUGCCACCAUGUGCUACCGAGCUCCCUGGUGCCAACUCUAGCAUAGCAGGGAGGCGCAUGCGUGGGGAAAGGGGAGUUUAGGCAAAUUUGGCAGCAGCAGGGGAAAGGAAAAUACCAUACAGGGAGGGGAGGGGCAGAGUUUGAAGCUACUGGACAGACAGAAUCAGGGAGGCCCCAGCACACCCCAGAGCACCGCAAUGAGAAGGCACUUUCACCAGGAUCUCGCCGCACCAGCUGACAGCUGCCGAGACAAUCCCGCUCCAAGGACGGCGCCGGCUCCUGAACACCCAGUGCUGAAUUUACACACAGACCACGCAGCAAUUUAUUGUGAGGUGGUGGGGGAAGGCAAGAAUCAUCCCACCUCACCACGACACACCAGCUUCCUCUGUAACAUUCCAGCAGCGUAGAGAUUUUUCCCAUCUUCCUACUCUGGAUUGUUUUUUUUCCCCUCCACGUCCCUCACUAUUUGCCAAACACAUUACAACAGGCUAUUCGCUUGGCCCGCGGCCUCGGGAUAUUUGUGGCUUCUUUCCCAAGGCUGCCAGCCCUGGUUGCUCCCACUCAGGCUUUUAGGGACUGCUCCAUUCUUGGAAAAAGGGGGAAAUGGGAAAUUCUUCCACUACCAGCUGCCCCAGUGCCUAGCAUGGGCACUACCCUGGUGCUUACCG